rnacentral:rRNA from 1 species
GCAUAUCAAUAAGCGGAGGAAAAGAAACCAACCGGGAUUCCCUUAGUAAGGGCGACUGAAAAGGGAAGAGCCCAGCGCAAAGCCUCGCCGGCCUCGUUUCAAAGGUCGCGAGGGGUGCUGCGUUCGGGAGAGUUGUGUGGGAUUCGUCCUUCCGGCUUGCACGCAUUCCCGCGCCGCCUAAGUUGUUCUUGAAUGACUCCAAUACCCAUGGAGGGUGUCAGGCCCGUGUGGCGGACGCAGACGACUUCUCCCGAGACCACCGUUCGCGGAGGACGAAGGAGAAGGGCGGGUUGUGCGGAAUGGCCCUCUCCCUAGAGUCAGGUUGCUUGAAAGUGCAGCCUAAAGCAGGUGGUAAACUCCAUCUAAGGCUAAAUAUGACCACGAGACCGAUAGCGAACAAGUACCGUGAGGGAAAGUUGAAACAGGACUCUGUAGAGAGAGUUAAAGAGAGCGUGAAACCGUCAAGGGGCAAACGGAUGGAGAGUCGAAGAUCGAACCGGGGGGAUUCAACCCGUCCGGUCCUGGGAGGGCGACGUUGGGCUCACAUGCGACCUCUAUGCCUUCGUGGCUUAUUAGGGGCGCGACCCGACGCCCUGCCCGGGACUGACGGGUGAUCUUCCCCCUGCAGUAGAUCGCCGCGAUCCGUUGGAGGGAUGUCUCAGAGGCCCGGAGAGUGACCCGAAAGGGUUACUGUUCCGUAGGAACCCGAGGCUCGCUUGGUCGGCCACCCCAGCUUGCUGGCGGCCGGCCAGUUUACGGCGGGUAUCAACUCGGGGGAUCCUUCGGUGUCCUCGUCUUGUUCCUCCGACGGUCAACUCCUUGGGGGCUGGGCAGCUGUCGCUGCUCGGCCUCUCGCGGUGUGCAAAGAGUCGAUGCUCCAUCCGACCCGUCUUGAAACACGGACC